AGCGCGCGAGCGCCGCUGUUUAAACUUCAACGGUUCACAGUGCGCUGAAUGCGCAGCGCUCGGGAGAACGACGAUUACAUUGUUAGCAACCCGUUUCUUUCAAGAAGCUUAAAGAAGAAAGGUGGUUUAUCGCGUUGUCCAGGCCCGCGCAAUUCUCCGCCGGGAGAUUGGACCUAUACAUAUACAGGUAAAGAUGAAACAAAGUUUCAGUCAAAUCGCCGUCAGACUGCCGUUAUAAACAUGAAUUCAAACCAAGAAGAACAAAGAGAGAAGCAGCUGAUGGAGAUGUUUCCAUUUUUUCUGUGGAUAACUAUGUUCAUCUAUCCCAGAGAGCACUGUUAAAGUUUUAGCUCCACCUUAUCAGAGAGCUGAAUAGUGGGAGUCAGAGGAAACAUGACCAACCUGCUGCAAAACAAUAACACAAAAGGUCUGGACUCUGGAGUGCAACAUUACUUGUUUGGUCAUCUACAUUCAGAUGAAAACACCACACUUCUCUCUAAUUCAAGAUGUCAAGCUCAACGCAAAGAGAGUUAGCAUCAAAAUGGAUGUGUCACUGACCAAUAACACAGAGAUGCCUUUUACCUCAAAAAGCCUUUCAAUCAUUACUAUUUAGCCCUUCCCAGUGCUGAAAUUGUCCUGGGUCCUUUGUUUUUAUUGUUUAAAUGCUUAUCUGAAUGUAAAAUUAAUAUUUAAUGCUUAUAAAUAAAUAAAAAAAACAAUACUAUGGUUAGUCUUUUAGCUCCCUUUUCAGAAACACGUGGUUCACCAUUUUUCAUGGGUUACAGAACUGGGGAAAGUUGCAGCAUACAAAAAAAAGUCAGACUACUUGGUUUAUAGGUUUAUAGGAGAAUGUGGAGUAAAUACUUGACAUUUAUUUAAGAUAAAGGCUAAUGACCUGGUGGUGAGAUGCAAAAUAAGAUUGUCAUUAAUAUACUAUUUGAUGACAAACUUUUCACAUUCUAAUUUUACUUAUGUAUUUAUUUAUUUUUUAAAUUAUUUGUGCAAGUUAACAUUCAAUUUUUUUUUUUUUUUUUUUGGUGGUGGUUCCUAGCAAUCAACAUAUACUGUAUUUGUGACUGACAUGUUGGAUGGGUGAGUAAGGUGGAGGGGAUUGAAAAAACAAUAUUUCUAAAAUGGAGAGUGCUGUUUUAGGUUGACAGGCAAAAAUAUAUAUAUUUUAAAAAAAGUAUAAAUAAAUAAAGAAACAUGGAUUUAUGUUAAUCCCUGUAACUGUUGCACUAUGAAUUGCUGUGUUAUAUAUUGCUUGUCAUUGUAAAUGCUAAUAAAAGUGUCUUAAAUGAUCACACAACUCCUUGAUGUCUUAUGCUUAUAGUUA